GAACAGGCUCUAGCCCUUGCCUUAGUCCUCUCUUGCUCGCUUGAAAAAGAAGUAGAAAUAGUGGCUUACCUAAGAUCCUUUGCUUUCGUGUCUAUCCCAGGCUUUCUUGCGUAAGGAAUCUAGCUUUCAAACUGACUUGCUCGCCUAAGGACUGCAACAGGCUCGUUAGAUUAGGGGUUUGCUAGAUCAGAAGUAGAAUUGCCUGAACCAUCACUGGUGAUAAAAACGACUCCCCCUGCCUUGAAGAAUAACUGUAACCUGGCUUGAACUCUAACCUUGCCUGAAAUGAAAACUAGCUUUCUAUAAGCAUUUUCAAAAGCUUGUCCCACAUAAAGGGACGGAGUUGCUCGACAACUAAUCAAUAAGCAAGGAGAGAGACAUCUUAGGAAAGGGCACUUUGAAAAUAAAAAGGCUAGGAGGCUGGGGUAAGAAAAGAAACCUGUAAAAAAUGAAAUCGUAUAAAAGCUAGUUGCUCACCUGGAUGGACAAGCAAGGAAUUAGGAAAGGGCUCUUAUCCUUUUGUUGCAUUUAGAAGGGCUUGCGUAAUUGGAAGUCUUACAAAAGGAAAAAAAUAUUAUGGAUAAAAAAGCCUUAAGAAGGACUCAAAUUUCUACUGGUUAUGGGUAGGCCACUACUUCUUCAGCAUAAUAUUAAGCCGAGACUACCACUAGAAAAAUGACCCAAAGAUAAUGAAAGACGCAACGUAUCCCGGAAAAAACUUGCUCACAUUCGAUCAUAGGGGCACUCCCAAAGGCAGGACUGGCUGCAAGAGAAGUAAUUAGAAUAGGCUUUUAGAACUGCCUUACUCAAAUCCCUCUUCCUCCGGUCUAGCAAUUUCAUCCUUCUUAACACUGGAGCAAAUAUUCCUGCUUUUGCCCUAGCAAAGACUGCAACUGCAACUUGCUCGAAAGUAGAAGGACUAGAAAAGGCUCGUCUGGAUCGGACAUGAAAAGGAACCGCUGGAAAAGAUAAUGCUGGAGAGCUUGAGAACUCACUUGCUUUAGGGACCUUGACCAGCGAGGACCUCACAAUGUAUGGAUGGGCUGGACCGACAUCGAAAGGCACUCCAACAGACUCACAGAUGGGAUUUGCCCUUUCUUACACUUGACUGGAUGGCACUCGCUCAAAGGCAGAAGCAAUGGCAACGGGGGAGGCUUACCUCAAGACUCUAAACGGCUUGUAGGCGUACGGAAUGGAAAUGCAUGCUGGAUGAAUAGAGCUCCCAACGGCUGGAAAGCGACUUGAAUGGGAACCUAACUAACUAGUGCCCCACCCAAGCUCUCAGAACCCUCGUAGGAAACCCCUGUAUGGAAACCUGCUUUCGAUUGAGUGCGAGAUUUAGGGAUGAAUGAGAUUUUUCAAGCUUCCCAGGAUGAGGCAAAGAAUGGGGGGACUUCCAGUUAUACCUCUACUCGGUUUAUGGAUAACAUAAGCUGGGGUAUGUGACUUACCAGGGCAAUCUCUUACUAGACAAGAUGCUACCUCUGAUAAGCCUCUUCUUCCCCGGAACACCAUCUGCAUCUUCAAGAGUGAAGUCAAUCGGUAUCAAGACCUACCUACAUUUAUUCUUUAUUUUUCUUCAAAGCGGCAUGAAGCCCUUUUUCUUGCAUCCUUUGUUUAUACCUUUUAAAUAUAAAAGGAACUUUCUUCAAUAAAUAAGGAAUUUCAUUCAAAAGAAGUUGUUGAUCUCUUUUUUUUAGAGUGGGUAUAGUUGGAAAAACUCCCGAAUUCUAGUUUGGAGGAGCUUCUUAAAAAUGAAAAAUCAAUGGCCGCGCAAUCAGCGGUAGGCUUGAUUGAUCGUACUACAUAAAAGACUGCUUGCUCGAUUGCACUAUAUGUAGAUGAAAGUGAGGACUUGGUCGUUUAUCGUCAUUAUACGAUUGAAGCUUGACAUUUUGGAAUCAUCGCAAAAAGAAGUAAUCCAACCCACGGAAUCGACUUGAAUGGGCUAUUUGAAUCUAUAUGUGUGCGGCCAAGCAAGCUAGCCAAUGCGAAGCGUUCUGUUAUAUUAUUAUUAUUAGAUAGAAAUGCUCUUUUCUUCAAUAGCGCA
rnacentral:lncRNA from 1 species